rnacentral:tmRNA from 1 species
GGGGUCGUUUGGUUUUGACAGCGAGAACGGGGGGAUGUAAGCAGGUCGGAACUUGUGAGCCGAUUCCGUUAACAGUCAACUCUCCAGCCAAUAAACGGCGAAACUUCUUAUGCAUUCGCAGCGUAACCGCCGCGGAUCCCGCCGCACGGACAAGGUCCGCAGCCGCGGGCGUCUCCCCGGAAGUUCUUCCGUCCAACGUUCGGAACGAGGCGUCGUAAAAGGACAGAUAGCGAGCGCAGGCUUCGAUGCGUGAGCGAAACUUUAGAAGAUAAGCUGCUGCAAGGUCGGUCUCGUACCAUACAGCAGCCGACAACCAAACGAAGACUAAACUUGUAGAAAGCAUCUCUGCGGCUUGUUUGGACGAGGGUUCGACUCCCUCCGGCUCCAC